AUUGAACGCUGGCGGAAUGCUUUACGCAUGCAAGUCGAACGGUAGAGGGGGCAACCCCUCGAGAGUGGCGAACGGGUGAGUAAUAUAUCGGAGCGUGCCCAGUCGUGGGGGAUAACGUAGCGAAAGUUACGCUAAUACCGCAUACGAUCUAAGGAUGAAAGCGGGGGAUCGCAAGACCUCGCGCGAUUGGAGCGGCCGAUAUCAGAUUAGGUAGUUGGUGGGGUAAAGGCUCACCAAGCCAACGAUCUGUAGCUGGUCUGAGAGGACGACCAGCCAGCCUGGAACUGAGACACGGUCCAGACUCCUACGGGAGGCAGCAGUGGGGAAUUUUGGACAAUGGACGCAAGUCUGAUCCAGCCAUUCCGCGUGCAGGAUGAAGGCCCUCGGGUUGUAAACUGCCUUUGUACGGAACGAAAAGGUCUCUCUUAAUACGGGGGACUCAUGACGGUACCGUAAGAAUAAGCACCGGCUAACUACGUGCCAGCAGCCGCCGUAAUAC
rnacentral:rRNA from 1 species